rnacentral:rRNA from 1 species
CCUACGGGAGGCAGCAGUGGGGGAUAUUGCACAAUGGGGGGAACCCUGAUGCAGCGACGUCGCGUGGGUGAAGGCGCGCCUAGGCGCUUAAAGCCUUAUUGGCAGGGAAGCAGAUGCCGGCACCUGUCCCCGAAGCCACGGCCAACUACGUGCCAGCAGCCGCGGUAAUACGUGGGGCGCACGCGUUAACAGGAUUUAUUGGGUUUAAAGGGUGCGCAGGCGGAAGAUCAAGUCAGCGGUAAAAUUGAUGGGCUCAACCUCGUCGUGCCGUUGAAACUGGUUUUCUUGAGUGAGUGAGAAGUAUGCGGAAGGCGUGGUGUAGCGGUGAAAUGCAUAGAUAUCACGCAGAACUCCGAUUGCGAAGGCAGCAUACCGGCGCUCAACUGACGCUCAUGCACGAAAGUGUGGGUAUCGAACAGGAUUAGAUACCCCAGUAGUC